rnacentral:lncRNA from 1 species
GGAUAAGCGAGGAGGAGGAAGAUCGGUCUGGUGCUGGCGGGGACUUAUUUUGGACGACAUUGUUCCUUUUACCGUAUUUAUAUUACAUACGGUAGCUUUUUGAUGUCGAUGUUUAUAUUUUGGACUUAGUCAAGAAGUAUACUCUCGGCUAUAUGUCUUCAUACAUAUAGUCUGUUCACGUUUUGCUGCGAGACUCUGUAAAUUAUAAACCUUUGUAAAUUUUUAACUAUGUCCGCUUUGUAAACUUUGUCGAGAAUCCCUGUACUUUUGAACUUAUGAAGCCGAUAAUAUUUGUGUCUUUGAAAUGUUGUUAUUGUGUUUCAUCUUUGCUUGUUUUGUUGUGAGCUUCCGCUUGUUGUUUGAU